rnacentral:tRNA from 2 species
GGCGCAUUCGUCUAACGGUUAGGACGCCGCCCUCUCAAGGCGGUAGUACGAGUUCGAUUCUCGUAUGCGCUACCA